rnacentral:rRNA from 1 species
GACGAACGCUGGCGGCGUGCUUAACACAUGCAAGUCGAACGAUGAUCUCCCGCUUGCGGGGGUGAUUAGUGGCGAACGGGUGAGUAAUACGUGAGUAACCUGCCCUUGACUCUGGGAUAAGCCUGGGAAACCGGGUCUAAUACUGGAUACUACUUCCUGCCGCAUGGUGGGGGGUGGAAAGGGUUUUACUGGUUUUGGAUGGGCUCACGGCCUAUCAGCUUGUUGGUGGAGUAAUGGCUCACCAAGGCGACGACGGGUAGCCGGCCUGAGAGGGUGACCGGCCACACUGGGACUGAGACACGGCCCAGACUCCUACGGGAGGCAGCAGUGGGGAAUAUUGCACAAUGGGCGGAAGCCUGAUGCAGCGACGCCGCGUGAGGGAUGACGGCCUUCGGGUUGUGAACCUCUUUCAGCAGGGAAGAAGCCACAAGUGACGGUACCUGCAGAAGAAGCGCCGGCUAACUACGUG